rnacentral:rRNA from 1 species
AUAAACGCUGGCGGCGUGCUUCAGGCAUGCAAGUCGAACGGCACCUUCGGGUGCAGUGGCGGACGGGUGAGUAACACGUAAGUAACCUGCCCAAAAGUGGGGAAUAACUAGCCGAAAGGGUAGCUAAUACCGCAUGUGAUGGCCGCUCCCUGGGGUGGUCAUGAAAGGCCUUCGGGUCGCUUUUGGAGGGGCUUGCGGCCGAUUAGCUAGUUGGUGGGGUAACGGCCUACCAAGGCUGCGAUCGGUAGCUGGUCUGAGAGGACGGACAGCCACACGGGGACUGAGAUACGGCCCCGACUCCUACGGGAGGCAGCAGCUAGGAAUCUUGGGAAUGGGCGAAAGCCUGACCCAGCAACGCCGCGUGGGCGAUGAAGGCCUUCGGGUCGUAAAGCCCUUUUGUAGGGGACGAUGAUGACGGUACCCUGCGAAUAAGCCACGGCUAACUACGU